CCCCGUGUGGCUCAGUUGGUAUAGCAUGGUGUUUGCAACGCCAGACUUGUGGGUUUGAUUCCCACGGGGG
rnacentral:tRNA from 1 species